GUCUACAGCCAUGCCACCAUGAACGUGCCCGAUCUUGUUUGAUCUCAGAAGCUAAACAGAGUCAGGCCUGGUUAGUACUUGGAUGGGAGACCGCCUAGGAAGACCAGGUGCUAUAGGAG
rnacentral:rRNA from 1 species